rnacentral:rRNA from 1 species
UGCAGAUGGAUCAUUUA